rnacentral:rRNA from 1 species
UNCCGGUGGCGAAGGCGGCCCCCUGGACAAAGACUGACGCUCAGGUGCGAAAGCGUGGGGAGCAAACAGGAUUAGAUACCCUGNUANNCCACGCUNUAAACGAUGUCGAUUUGGAGGUUGUGCCCUUGAGGCGUGGCUUCCGGAGCUAACGCGUUAAAUCGACCGCCUGGGGAGUACGGCCGCAAGGUUAAAACUCAAAUGAAUUGACGGGGGCCCGCACAAGCGGUGGAGCAUGUGGUUUAAUUCGAUGCAACGCGAAGAACCUUACCUACUCUUGACAUCCAGAGAACUUUCCAGAGAUGGAUUGGUGCCUUCGGGAACUCUGAGACAGGUGCUGCAUGGCUGUCGUCAGCUCGUGUUGUGAAAUGUUGGGUUAAGUCCCGCAACGAGCGCAACCCUUAUCCUUUGUUGCCAGCGAUUCGGUCGGGAACUCAAAGGAGACUGCCGGUGAUAAACCGGAGGAAGGUGGGGAUGACGUCAAGUCAUCAUGGCCCUUACGAGUAGGGCUACACACGUGCUACAAUGGCAUAUACAAAGAGAAGCAAACUCGCGAGAGCCAGCGGACCUCAUAAAGUACGUCGUAGUCCGGAUUGGAGUCUGCAACUCGACUCCAUGAAGUCGGAAUCGCUAGUAAUCGUAGAUCAGAAUGCUACGGUGAAUACGUUCCCGGGCCUUGUACACACCGCCCGUCACACCAUGGGAGUGGGUUGCAAAAGAAGUAGGUAGCUUAACCUUCGGGAGGGCGCUUACCACUUUGUGAUUCAUGACUGGGGUGAAGUCGUAACAAGUAGCCGU